ACUCAAAGGAAUUGACGGGGGCCCGCACAAGCGGUGGAGCAUGUGGUUUAAUUCGAUGCAACGCGAAGAACCUUACCAAGGCUUGACAUGGCAGUGCCAGAUUCAGAGAUGAGUCCUUCUUCGGACACUGCACACAGGUGGUGCAUGGUUGUCGUCAGCUCGUGUCGUGAGAUGUUGGGUUAAGUCCCGCAACGAGCGCAACCCUUACGUUUAGUAGCCAUCAUUAGGUUGGGUACACUAGACGGACUGCCGUGGGUAACACGGAGGAAGGUGGGGAUGAGGUCAAAUCAGCAUGCCCUUUAUGCCUUGGGCUACACACGUGCUACAAUGGCAGCUACAAAGCGACGCUAGCCCGCGAGGGGAAGCAAACCGCAAAAAAGCUGCCACAGUUCGGAUUGCAGGCUGCAACUCGCCUGCAUGAAGCCGGAAUCGCUAGUAAUCGCGGAUCAGAAUGCCGCGGUGAAUACGUUCCCGGGCCUUGUACACACCGCCCGU
rnacentral:rRNA from 1 species